rnacentral:rRNA from 1 species
GAUGAACGCUGGCGGCGUGCCUAAUACAUGCAAGUCGAGCGAACAGACGAGGAGCUUGCUCCUCUGACGUUAGCGGCGGACGGGUGAGUAACACGUGGAUAACCUACCUAUAAGACUGGGAUAACUUCGGGAAACCGGAGCUAAUACCGGAUAAUAUAUUGAACCGCAUGGUUCAAUAGUGAAAGACGGUUUUGCUGUCACUUAUAGAUGGAUCCGCGCCGCAUUAGCUAGUUGGUAAGGUAACGGCUUACCAAGGCAACGAUGCGUAGCCGACCGGAGAGGGUGAUCGGCAAACGGGGAACGGAAACAGGGCCCAGCCCCCUGGGGGAGGAAGCAGGGGGAAAUCGCCCGAAAGGGGAGAAAGCCUGAGGGAGCAACCCCGGGGGAGGGAGAAAGGUUUUCGGAUAGAAAAACUUUUUUAUGGGGAAAAAAAAAUUGUAAAAUUAAUAAGGCACGUCUGGAGGGAACCAAACGAAAAAGCAGCGCCAAACUCGGC